rnacentral:rRNA from 1 species
GACGAACCGUGCGAACGUUGUUCGGAAUCACUGGGCGUAAAGGGUGCGUAGGCGGUUUGGCAAGUCUUGUGUGAAAUCUUCGGGCUCAACCCGAAGCCUGCAUAAGAAACUGCCGGGCUUGAGUAUGGGAGAGGUGAGUGGAAUUUCCGGUGUAGCGGUGAAAUGCGUAGAUAUCGGAAGGAACACCUGUGGCGAAAGCGGCUCACUGGACCAUUACUGACGCUGAGGCACGAAAGCUAGGGGAGCAAACAGG